GGCUUUAUAGUCAAUAUAUGAUAUUAGAUUGCAAUUCUAAAGUAGUAAUUUUACUAAAGCUU
rnacentral:tRNA from 2 species